ACGAACUCGAUGGUGGUCUUCUGGAAAAGCUGAAUGAAACACUGAAUACUGUCAACGGACUACUCGACGAUGCGGAGGAGAAGCAGAUUACAAAGCGUGCUGUGAAGAACUGGCUUAAUGAUGUUAAACAUGCUGUCUAUGAAGCUGAGGACAUAUUGGAGGAGAUUGAUUAUGAAUAUCUACGAUCCAAGGACAUUGAUGCCCCUCGACCUGACAGCAAUUGGGUAAGCAUAGAAGCAGAUUACAAAGCAUAGUUCUUGCUUCCUCAUAAAAUAUUUGUAUUGAUCUCUCUAUUUUUUUUUUUUAACUUUCAUGGAUGCUCGCUAGCCUGUAAAGGAGGAAAAAAUAUUUUUAGGCAUGGUUUUUGUCUUUUGUGAGUUUUAUUAAAAGAGUAUUCAUUGUUAUAUAAGCAACUAAUAUUAUUGGCUUUUGGUGUCUGUGGUGAAAUUAUGCUUGCAAAUUCUCAUUUAUUAACUAGUUUUCUAAACAUGCGCUUUGGAUUUUUAAAAUCUGAAUUAUUUAUAUAAAUAUUGUCAAUCUUAAUUAAAUUAUAUAUUUUUUAUAAGAACAUAAAUAAAUUUUAAUUGUUCUGAAAAAAUAAGGGAUAUAAAACUGAAUUGUCUUUCAAUAUUUUUAGUGAUCACGAAUAAUUAGGACUUACGAGACUCAAAACCCAUUAUUAUAAAUAUUAAAUUUCUUAGUAAUUAUAUAUAUAAUAAUCACCAAGAAUUAUGCACUGAUUUUUUAGUAGCACAAUUGUAAAUUGAAAUGAUAUUUUAAAUAUUAAAAAUAAAUACUUUACUUUUUAAUUGCUAAACAAUUAUUUUUGAAAAUAAAAUCAUUUUUCCAUUUUUAUUUUAGAAAAAAAAUUAAUUUCAAUAUAUAUAUAUAUAUAUAUAUAUAUAUAUAUAUAUAUAUAUAUAUAUAUAUAUAUAUAUAUAUAUAUGAUAUAGUAAGGGCUAUGAAAAUCACUAGUGGCAUUUAAUCAAUAUCUUUUUAAAACUUGAGUUUUACUGUUUAAUUACAUUAAGUUAGCAUCAACAAUUGUAAAUUCUUGAAAAAGACCUGUAGAAAAAAAAUGUUUACAUUAAGUUAGCAUCAACAAUUUAAUGGCAUUAACUUAUUAAUUCACUAGAUGUAAGAAUCUUAAUGUUUUUGUUUUGAUAUUAUAAAAUUAUAAUGUUUUCCUGAAUUCUAUCUCAUAUAUUUAGUCCACCAUUGCAGGUAAGGAAUCUGGUUCCAUUUCUAAAUCCAGCUAAUGGAAGGAUGAAAGAGAUGGAAGCAGAGUUACAAAAGAUCCUUGAGAAGCUUGAACGUUUACUUAAACAAAAGGGUGAUCUGCGCCACAUAGAAGGUACUGGUAGAUGGAGACCAUUGUCAGAGAAAACAACUCCACUGGUUAAUGAGCUUGAUGUAUAUGGAAGGGACGCUGAUAAGGAAGCCAUAAUGGAGUACUUGUUGACACUACACAACACAGAUGGCUCAAAUUUAUGUGCGGUUCCUAUUGUGGGCAUGGGCGGGAUUGGUAAAACCACUCUUGCUCAGCUUAUCUACAACGAGGAAAGGGUAGAGCAGUGCUUUCAACUCAAAGCCUGGGUCUGGGCUUCUCAACAAUUUGAUGUUGCCAGGAUUAUUAAGGAUAUUCUUGAAAAGAUCAACGCAAGUACUUGCCGCACCAAAGAACCAGAUGAAUCUCUAAUGGAGGCAGUGAAAGGGAAAAAACUCCUACUUGUUCUAGAUGACGCGUGGAACAUCGAGUACAAUGAAUGGGAUAAGUUACUGCUACCUUUGCGGUAUGUGGAGCACGGAAGUAAGAUUGUCGUGACAACACGGGAAGAAGAUGUAGCAAAAGUCACGCAAACUGUCAUCCCCUCUCACCGCUUGAAUGUAAUAAGCGAUGAAUAUUGCUGGAAGUUGUUUGCAAGGGAUGCAUUUAGUGGUGUAAAUUCUGGAGCAGUCUCACACUUGGAAGCAUUUGGCAGAGAAAUAGCGAGAAAGUGCAAAGGUUUACCGCUGGCAGCGAAAACUCUUGGGGGUCUUUUGCACUCCGUAGGAGAUGUCAAGCAAUGGGAGAAGAUAUCCAAUAGCAGUAUGUGGGGUUCGUCGAAUGAAAACAUCCCUCCAGCUCUAACAUUGCGCUAUUAUUAUCUCCCUUCACACCUGAAACGUUGUUUUGCUUACUGCGCAAUAUUUCCUAAGGGUUAUGAAUUUCAUAAGGAUGAAUUGAUCACUGAAUGGAUGGCACAUGGUUUUCUAGUCCAGCCCAGAGGCGUUGAGGAGAUGGAAGAUAUAGGUGAAAAAUACUUUGAUGAUCUUGUCUCUAGGUCACUUUUCCAGCAAUCAACUCGUGAAUAUUCUUUUUUCAGCAUGCAUGACCUCAUAAGUGAUUUAGCUGAAUACGUGUCAGGAGAAUUUUGCUUUAAGCUUGGUAUUAAUGAAUCGGGCUCUGGGUUGGAGGGUGAACAUUCAUGCUCGCUUCCAGAAAGGACUCGUUAUUUAUCAAUCACUUCAGCGGCAGCAUAUGGCGGAGGACUUCGGAUAUUUCGUAGCAUUCAUGGAGUCCAACAUUUGCGCGCCUUGUUUCCACUGAAGUUUUUUGUGGAAGUUGAUAUUGAGGCGCUGAAUGACAUUUUGCCAAAUCUUAAGCGCUUGCGCAUGCUAUCUUUAUGUCAUCCAAAAGAUAUUUCUUCUCAGUUGCUCAAUUCCAUUGGCAACUUAAAACAUUUGCAUAUUUCUUCUCAGUUGCUCAAUUCCAUUGGCAACUUAAAACAUUUGCGGCACUUGGACCUUUCUUGCACCGCCAUUGAAAUGUUACCUAAAAGUGUGUGCACCUUGUACUAUUUGCAAAGCUUAUUGUUAAAGGAGUGCCGACAUCUCAUGGAGUUGCCAUCCAACCUUUCCAACUUGGUCGACUUACAACAUCUUGAUAUUGAAGGGACAAAUUUGAAAGAGAUGCCACCAAAAAUGGGGAAACUCACGAAGCUUCGAAUUUUGGAUUCUUACAUCGUGGGAAAAGAUAGCGGGUCUAGCAUGAAAGGGUUGGGGAAGCUCUCACAUAUAAGGAAAAAACUUUCUAUUCGGAAUCUCAGAGAUGUUGCAAAUGCUCAAGAUGCUUUGGAUGCCAAUUUGAAGGGUAAGAAGAAGAUUGAGGAGUUGGGGUUGACGUGGGAUGGCAGUACGGAUGACACACCACACGAGAGAGAUGUACUUGAGAAAUUGGAGCCUUCUGAAGAUGUGAAAGAGCUUGCCAUUAUUGGUUACGGGGGUACAACGUUUCCAGGCUGGCUUGGAAACUCUUCUUUCUCAAAUAUGGUAACGUUGCUUCUUUAUGGAUGUAAGAACUGCAUCCUCUUACCACCAUUGGGGCAGCUGCCAUCUCUUGAAGAGCUCCAUAUUGAAGGAAUUGAUGAUGUCGUCCCCAUUUAGUUCUGAGUUCUAUGGAAGUGGACCCUUGGAUUGUGAAGCCAUUUUAAAUCCCUCCAAAAUAUUAAACCUUUGCGGGGAUGAAAAAAUGGCAGGAAUGGAAAACGGAUGUAGAUGGUGCUUUUCCUCAUCUUGAAAAGCUCUUGAUAGCAGGUUGUCCCGAGUUAGCAAAUGCCUUGUGUUGUAACCCAAUUUUGGAUUCACCAAGAUUUUCUUGAAUGUUAUUUUAUUUCUAUUAUUAUUUAUAAAAAUCUAAAAAAAUUAAGAAAAAGUUUAAAAAUUCAAAAAAUAUAUUUUUCUCGAGUCAACCGCAUCUUUCCAUCAAAACCGAGUCUAUCGGGUCAAUACGGGUCAAACCAUGUCGACCAGGGUAAAAAAUGAGUUUCGGGCCGUUUCGGGUCAAAACCGUUAUUUUUGACCAAAACCGAGUUCACCAGGUCAAUACGGGUCAAACCAUGUCGACCAGGGUAAAAAAUGAGUUUCGGGCCGUUUCGGGUCAAAACCGUCAUUUUUUACAAAAACCGAGUUCACCAGGUCAAUACGGGUCAAACCAUGUCGACCAGGGUAAAAAAUGAGUUUCAUGCCGUUUUGGGUCAAACCUAUUAUUUUUUGGUCAAAACCCGGUCCACCGGGUUUAUAUCCAUUGAAAGUUUUUUUUUAUGUUUCAACAUAAUUUUCGGUAAUUAAAAUUGAUUUUUAGCGGUUGAAUCGGGCUUUUUCUAAUACUGAUUUAAGUUUUAAUUUUACCUGUAUAAAUAUAUAUUAUUAUAUAUAAUAAAACAAAAUUACAGUGCGCAGGACGAAGAAGAAAAGAAAAAAAAAGAAAGAAAAGAAUUGUAAAGUUUUUUUACUAUUUCUUCACGAGAGUAGGAUAUUGAUUUAAAAAAAAAACAAUAUGGAAAAUACCAAAUAUAUCCUAACCGUUAGAUCUAAUAGUGUUUAGAUCUGAACCGUUGAUUUAAGAGGAUACAAUAGGGCUUACCACACCAGAUUAAAACCCAAACACAUCUCAGCCCUUGAAAUAAUCUAAGCUUUGAUCCCGUUGUGCCACGUCACCCGGUGUACCGAGAUUUCGGUGCACCGCGUCACACAGGAUCAAACCUCUGUUCAUCCGGACCGUCCGAUCAACCUGCAGAUCGGGCCAAUCACAGCCGCACGAUCUUUCCAUCAGAGAUCCAACGGAUUACAGGCAUCAACGGCACCGGCGUACCGUGCUAGUGCUCUCACCGUAGCAUAGCCCAGAGCAUCUCUCUCCUCUCGCCGGCGACUCCCUCUCUCUCCUCCGAUCUCCCAUAUCCGGCCACUGCAAGCUUGAAACCCACCACAGAAAGGUCGCCUUCAUCAUAUAAAGCAAAACCCCUGCCGGUUUCAGCGUUUUCGCCGCUCUAUUUGGCCGGAAACGGGCCGCGAUUCGUCGGCUGCCACCGAAGCUUCAAGUCGUCGAUUCUCGCUCAUCAGCCAUCAACGACAGUCAAGACCACCACCAUAAGAAUCCUUGACAUCAGAUCUACCAGGAUCGACCAUCGGUUGGACAGAAAUCGCGCCGGAAAAUCUCUCCGCCGCCAACAGUAACCGCGCGUGUGCCACACGCGCCGCCAGUGGCAUUUUUGGAAUUUUUCAAGAAACCCGAGGGUAUUUCAGUCUUUUACCUAUACAGUGGCACUCAUGUAAUUUUUUGGGGUUUCUACUGGUAUUUUUGAUAUUUUUUUAUAUAUAUAAAUGCUUGUAAAUUUUCUUACAUGUUGUAAAAAAUACAAAAACCAAAGUCGACACGUCUCUUUUUUUAAAAGGACCGAUGUCAAAAAUGUAAAUACCAAAUAUGGAUUAUGUCCAUUAUUUCUUUUGGUAACCCAGACGUAAUUAUUCUUUUUAGGGACAAACGUCAAUAUUUUAGACGAGUCUCCUAAUUUUUAGGGACUGAUGUCAUUUUUAACGUGUCUCCUAUUUUUAGGGACCGACGUUAACCAUUUUAAAAAACAAAUUACCAAUAAACCCAAAAUAUAAUGGAUUAUAUCCAUUAUUUUUUUUGGUAAUUCAGACGAGUCUCCUAAUUUUUAGGGACUGAUGUCAUUUUUAACGUGUCUCCUAUUUUUAGGGACCGACGUUAAUCAUUAAAAAAAUUUACAAAUAAGCCCAAAAUAUAAUCGCAUUUGAAUCAAAUAAAAAACACACAAGUAAGGGUAACCUUUCUUUUGAAAGGAUGUUUUAAGGGUGGUGUCUACCUUCCCUUAAUCAUAACUAACCCCGUAUCCAAAUCUCUGGGACCAGUGUCUAAUUUGGGAUUUCUAGUUCCCUCAAAUUACUAGAUGGCGACUCCAGUAAAAUCUUUAUUUCCCCUAAUCAAAGAAAAAAACCCUUUUUGUUAAAUAAACAAAAAAGCGGGAGCCGUCGCCCGACGUCGUGUAUCGACAGAAUGGCUUAUUUGUAAAUUUAACAAAGAGGGGGGAACCGUGAUGAGAGCCGUGAUGACAGAACAAAGAAGGCUUUGGAAUGCAAACAAAGCCACCCCAUGACGAUGAAGCAUCAAAGAGGGGGGAACCUAUAUUUCAAAAACAGGUAAGAUGCAUUGCAUAUCAUCUAACUUCACGAGCAUUACAUAUUUGUUUUGCAGAUAUUUCGAGAAACAAAAUUCCCACUGGGAUCCAACGAGACUCACAUGAAUUGAAGUUCUUGUAAAUCACAUCAAAUAUGGCAAUUCCACAAAAGCAAAAUUCAUAAAUGAAGACAAGAAAGAUGGAUUUUUAUUCAUGGAAAAAGGGGUUUACAAGUACAAAUGUUAAACAGUGCGAGGACGAUCAGGGAUAUUUUCAUCUUGGUGGUUAAUCAUGCCUCGGAAUUCCUCAAAUUGUUUAUGCAUGCGCUCCAUCUCUUCCUCGAACUCGAGGUGUCGUGUGUUAACAUAGUCCCUCCAAAAGUCAACACGUGUAUUUAACUCUUGGUUUCUCCUCUCCAAGUUGUUUCUGUGACGUCUCUCAUCACGGAGUCUAUUCCUUAAAUUCUCAAUCUGAUGUUGGAGAUCAAGAACCUGAGUAUUCAACUCAAGUCUUCUGGCAUGAAGACGCUCUGCAACGUUCACCAAAGACGAAGUAGCUCUGAUACUGAGAGCAAGUGACUGAUUCACUGCUUCAAUAUCGGUCCUGGCUGCCAACAUUAUUUCAUCACGAGGAAGGAUCAUGUCUCUGGCCACGGCUACAGCAAUAUCUUCAUUGUCCAUUACAGUAUCCUCUAUUGUAACUGGACGACCAUUCACUUCAAAGGUAGUAUGCCAACCUGCAGGCUCUACUUCAGGAACAGGGUUUGGGUUCGCAUUGGAAGAAGAAGAAGACAUGGUUAGAGCUUCAAAGGUUAAGAACUUUGAGAGUAUUGAAAAUGCAAGAAGUUGAUGAUGUCUUUUGCCAAAUACUGCGUGAUUUAUAAGGAAUUUACUCCUACCAUCACUUUGAACGGCAGAAAUCCCAACCGUACAUACAAGACUUCCUUGAGAAGCUUUCCUCAUUUUUUGGGAUCCACAAAUCGAAUCCCAACCAUACAUACAGGACUUCCUUGCGAAGCUUUCCUCAUUUUUGGGAUCCACAAAUCAAAUCCCAACCGUACAUACAAGACUUCCUUGAGAAGCUUUCCUCAUUUUUUGGGAUCCACAAAUCGAAUCCCAACCGUACAUACAAGACUUCAUUGACAAGCUUUCUAUUAUUUCUAUGUAUUUCACAAAACCAAUGUUGAAAUCACUUUCAUGUAUUUCACAAGACUAAGAUUGAAAUCACUUUCAUGUAUUUCACAACAUUAAUCUGAAAUCACUUUCAUGUAUUCACAAGAUCAAUAUUGAAAACACUUUCAUGUUUAUCAUUUGGGCAGGUCGCCCAUAAGAAUUAGACCAACUGAAAAAUCGUUGUAUUUUUCAACACUUCCAUCGUUUUUCUUUACAAAACUUACUAUGCAAAAGUCAAAAGAAAAUGAAUUUUCCAAUGCCUUUGCACCGUAAGCAUUGUAAAGAGGGGGCAACUGUUGUAACCCAAUUUUGGAUCCACCAAGAUUUUCUCAAAUGUUAUUUUAUUUCUAUUAUUAUUUAUAAAAAUCCAAAAAAAUUAAGAAAAAGGAAAAUUCAAAAAUAUAUUUUUCUCGAUUCAACCGCAUCUUUCCGUCAAAACCGAGUCCACCAGGUCAAUACGGGUCAAACCAUGUCGACCAGGGUAAAAAAUGAGUUUCAUGCCGUUUUGGGUCAAACCUGUUAUUUUUUGGUCAAAACCCGGUCCAUCGAGUUUAUAUCCAUUGAAAGUUUUUUUUUAUGUUUCAACAUAAUUUUCGGUAAUUAAAAUUGAUUUUUAGCGGUUGAAUCGGGCUUUUUCUAAUACUGAUUUAAGUUUUAAUUUUACCUGUAUAAAUAUAUAUUAUUAUAUAUAAUAAAACAAAAUUAAUAAUACAGAAUUGUCAUAUUAGGCGGGGCAGUUACAUUUAUUGUAGGCGAGCAGUGGACGGAUACAUUGUUAUAAAGCGAGAUGCUUGCUGUCCCCUUUCAUUGGCUAUUCAGUUUUUUUUUUUACUAUUUCUGAUAUUGAUUUUUAUUAAAAACAAUAUGAAAAAUACCAAAUAUAUCCUAACCGUUAGAUCUAAUAGUGUUUAGAUCUGAACCGUUGAUUUAAGAGUAUACAAUAGGGCUUACCACACCAGAUUAAAACCCAAACACAUCUCAGCCCUUGAAAUAAUCUAAGCUUUGAUCCCGUUGCGCCACGUCACCCGGUGUACCGAGAUUUCAGUGUACCGCGUCACACCCGAUCAAAGCUCCGCUCAUCCAGACCGUCCGAUCAACCUGCAGAUCCAGCCAAUCACAGCCAUCCGAUCGUUUCAUCCGAGAUCCAACGGUUCACCGUGUUCAGCAGUACCGGUGUACCAUGCUUGCGUUCUCACCGUAGCAGAACCCAGAGCAUCUCUCUCCUCUCGCCGGCGACGCUCUCUCUCUCAUCCGAUCUCCACUUUCCGGCCAUCUCCAGCCUCCGCACCACCACAGAAAGGUCGCCUUCCUCAUAUAAAGCAAAACCUCGGCCGGUUUCAGCGUUUUCGCCGCUCUAUUUGGCCGGAAACGGGCCGCGAUUCGUCGGCUGCCACAGAAGCUUCAAGUCGUCGAUUCUCGCUCAUCAGCCAUCAACGACCGUCAAGACCACCACCAUAAGAAUCCUCGACAUCAGAUCUACCAGGAUCGACCAUCGGUUGGCCAGAAAUAUCGCCGGAAAAUCUCCCCGCCGCCAACAGUAGCCGCGCGUGUGCCACACGCACCGCCAGUGGCAUUUUCGUAAUUUUUCAAGAAACCCGAGGGUAUUUUAGUAUUUUACCUAUACAGUGGCACUCAGGUAAUUUUUCGGGGUUUUCUACUGGUAUUUUUGAUAUUUUUUAUAUAUAAAUGCUUGUAAAUUUUCUUGCAUGUUGUAAAAAAUACAAAAACCAAAGUCGACACGUCUCUUUUUUUUAAAAGGACCGAUAUCAAAAAUGUAAAUACCAAAUAUGGCUUAUGUCCAUUAUUUUUUUGGUAACCCAGACGUAAUUCUCCUUUUCUAGGGAUAAACGUCAAUAUUUUAGACGAAUCUCCUAAUUUUUAGGGACUGAUGUCAUUUUUAACGUGUCUCCUAUUUUUAGGGACCGACGUUAACCAUUUAAAAAAAAACAAAUUGCCAAUAAACCCAAAAUAUAAUGGAUUAUAUCCAUUAUUUCUUUUGGUAACUCAGACGAGUCUCCAAUUUUUAGGGACUGAUGUCAUUUUUAACGUGUCUCCUAUUUUUAGGGACCGACGUUAAUCAUUUACAAAAAUUUACAAAUAAGCCCAAAAUAUAAUCGCAUUUGAAUCAAAUAAAAACACACAAGUAAGGGUAACCUUUCUUUUGAAAUGAUGUUUUAAGGGUGGUGUCUACCUUCCCUUAAUCAUAACUAACCCCGUACCCGAAUCUCUGGGACCAGUGUCUAAUUUGGGAUUUCUAGUUCCCUCAAAUUACUAGAUGGCGACUCCAAUAAAAUCUUUGUUUCCCCCAAUCGAGAAAAAAAACCCUUUUUGUUAAAUAAACAAAAAAGACGGGAGCCGUCGCCCGACGUCGUGUAUCGACACCUUGCCUAGUCACCUUCCUUGUUUAUGGAGUCUUUAUAUUCAAGAAUGUCCGCAGCUUGUGGUUUCAAUUCCAGAGGCUCCCAUGCUCGACGUAAUCAAUGUAUCUGAGGGCGAUGAAAGCCGUAUAUCUGGGGUAUCAGAUCUACCGUGCCUUCAUUUUAGACGAGAUCCCCAGCUAAAGGGAAUGGAGCAAAUGAGUCAUUUGGAUCCCUCUUCUUUCACUGAAAUCAAAAUCGAGGAAUGUAGUUCAUUUAAGCGCUGCCAGCUAGACCUUUUACCCCGGGUAUCCACACUUACCAUCGAACACUGUCCCAAUCUCGAAUCCCUUUGUAUAGGCGAGGGACCUCUCCCUGCUCUCUGUCAUCUGACAAUCAGUCACUGUCCUAAUUUGGUGUCUUUCCCCAAAGGAGGACUAGCUGCCUCAGAUUUGACAAGGCUUGUGUUAGAGGGUUGCUCAUAUUUGAAGUCGUUGCCGGAAAACAUGCAUUCCCUCCUCCCUUCCCUACAGAAUUUGCAAUUGAUCUCACUUCCAGAAGUUGAUUCGUUUCCUGAAGGAGGUUUACCCUCCAAAUUACACACACUUUGCAUUGAAGAUUGUAUCAAACUCAAGGUAUGUGGUUUGCAAGCACUCCCUUCUCUUUCAUGCUUCAUAUUUACUGGGAACGAUGUGGAGUCUUUUGACGAGGAGACGUUGCCCUCUACUCUUACAACCCUUGUAAUCAAUCGUCUGGGAAACCUGAAGUCUCUGGACUAUAAGGGGCUUCAUCACCUCACCUCUCUUCAGGUAUUGGGUAUCGAGGGUUGCCAUAAGCUUGAGUCCAUAUCAGAGCAAGCGCUUCCCUCCUCCCUUGAAAACCUUGAUCUCAGAAAUCUAGAAUCUCUGGACUACAUGGGGCUUCAUCACCUCACAUCUCUUCAGAGAUUGUAUAUCGCGGGCUGCCCUAAGCUUGAGUCCAUAUCAGAGCUGGCGCUUCCCUCUUCCCUUAAAUACCUUUAUCUCAGAAAUCUAGAAUCUCUGGACUACAAGGGGCUUCAUCACCUCACCUCUCUUUACACAUUGAAGAUCAAGAGUUGCCCUAAAGUUGAGUUCAUAUCAGAACAGGUGCUGCCCUCCUCCCGUGAAUACCAGGGGCUUCAUCACCUUACUUCUCUUACAAAUUUGAGUAUCAAGAGUUACCCUAAACUUGAGUCCAUAUCAGAACGGGCGCUGCCCUCCUCCCUUGAAUACCUUCAUCUCUGUAAACUGGAAUCUCUGGACUACAUUGGGCUUCAGCACCUCACCUCUCUUCACAAAUUGAAGAUCGGGAGUUGUCCUAAACUUGAAUCGUUGCAGUGGCUGCCUUCCUCCCUUGAAUUCCUUCAGUUAUGGGAUCAGCAAGACCGGGACUACAAGGAGCUUCGGCACCUCACCUCUCUUCGCAAAAUGCAGAUAAGGAGGAGCCUUAAGCUUGAGUCCUUUCAAGAAGGCACACUUCCCUCCUCCCUUGAAGACCUUGAAAUCUGGGAUUUGGAAGAUCUGGAAUUUAAGGGGUUUCGGCACCUCACCUCUCUUCGUGAAUUACAUAUCUGUAGUUCUCCUAAGCUCGAGUCCGUGCCAGGAGAGAAGCUGCCCUCCUCCCUUGUAUCUCUUCAAAUAUCAGGUCUGAUAAAUCUGAAAUCUGUAAUGGGGCUUCAGCACCUCACCUCUCUUCGCAAAUUGAUUAUCUCGGAUUGUCCUCAGCUCGAGUCCGUGCCAAGAGAAUGGCUGCCCCUUUUCCGAUAUGAUGAUAUUAGACGUUGUCCUAAACUUAAUUUGGUUAUAGGAGACGGUCUCACUAUACCAUUUUCCUAGUUUUGUACCCGCGCUCCGCGGCCGAGCGGUUAUUUCUUUUAAGUAAACAAAAAUUAAUAAAUAGGUUUUACAACGCAUUCUUUAAUAUACAAUAUUUUUCUAUCAUAAAUAGAAAUGUCUAUAUAUAUAUUUAGUAAUUAGAUCAAUAGUUGAUAAAGAGAUAAUUAAGAAUAAAAUAUUUAAUCUUACAAUAUAAAUAAUUAAUAUAUUUAGUUAUGUUUAACAAUUAUAUUUUCUAAAGUUUUUUUUAUAUAUAAAACAAUUAUAUGUGCCAAUAAAAGGUUAAAAAAAAAUCAUAUCCAAUGUAAAAUGAAGAAAAUUAAAAAAAAAAUAUGUCAAACUGUAUAAAUAUGGUAACAUUGUGACAAUAGACACAUGAUUGAGAUAAUUUUAUAUAAAGAAAAAUGAAAUAAAAAGCACAAAUACCAAUUCUAAAAAAGUUAAAUGUUGAAGGAUGAAAUUGAAAAAACACAAGGAUAUUUGAUUUCGCAACAUGGUUCAUGCACUAAGCCGUGUUUAAUAGCUUUGUUUUUUAGAAUAUAUUUUUUAUUUAAUCAAACAAUUAUCUAUGCAAAUAAAAGAUAAAAAAAAAUCACAAAUAAAAGCAAAUUGAAUCAAAUCAUGAAGUCAAUUAUAAAAUAACUCAAUGUUGAAUGAUGAAAUUAAAAAAAUAAUAAUUAAGAAAAACAAAAAAAAUAUGGGUCAACCCUUAUUAAUCCGUUAACAUUGCGACCAUUGGUACAUAAUUGUGAUAAUCCCAUAAAAAAUAUGAAGACCAACUUUUAGAAAAAUUAAAUGUUGAAGGAUGAAAUUAAUAUAUAUAUAUAUAUAUAUAUAUAUAUAUAUAUUAAAAAAUGACUAAAAAAACUACUAGAGUCAACCCAUGUUAACAUUUGAAAUUUGUAAUUGUGAUCUUGAGACCAAGACUACUCACGCAUCAGUCAAACCCAAAAAAACAACAAAGUAAAUUUCUCAAUAAAAAAAUGUUGAGGCAUGAAAAUUUCAAUAAAAAAACAACAUGAAAAAAAUAUGAAUAAACCAGGGUUAACUCGCUAACCUCACGACCAUGGAAACAUGAUCAGGAUAACCCUAAUGAAAAGAAAGUGAUAAAGAAAAGCACAAAGAAUAACACUAAAAAAAAUAAAAGUUGAGGGGUGAAAUUAAAAAAACAAAAAAAACCAAAGUCAACCGUUGUUAACUUUCAAAACUCAUGAUUAUGCUGUUGGGACUGACCAUAUAAAAGGCAAACCCAAAACAAAACAAUAUAGCAAAAUUCUCAGUGAAAAAAAGUUGAGGCUUGAAACUCAGUAAAAAAAAGCAACAAAAAAUAUAUGAGUCAACCCAAGUCACCCAUUUGACUAUGGGCAUGUGAUUUAGAUAAUCUUAUGGAAAGGAAAGCAAAAAAAAAAAAACAAUAAAACCAAUUUUAUAAAAAUUAAAUAUUGAAGAAUAAAAUUAAAAAAAUUAAUUUUAUAAAAAAGACUUGAAGAAACCAAAAUCAACCCGUGCAAACCUUUAAAAGUCAUGAUUCAAUAAUAAUAAAAAAAAAGAAGCUAAGUGAUGAAAUCAUUAAAAAAACAAUAAAAAAAAAUUAUUCAAAACAUAAUAAACAUAAGUAAAAAAAGAAUAGAGAUCAAAUUCAACACUAAAAAAAUAAAAAUCAAAUAAUGAGAAAUAAAAUCAAAACAAUAUCUAAUUAGAUUAAGGAUUAAAAAGUGUCAAAAAAAAGUGUCAAAUUUGAUCUAAAAAUAAAAUAAAGUAAAAUAAUUAGAGAUAAAUAGUAAUAAAUACUAUUUUUAUAAAAUAAAAAGAAAAAAAUAAAAAAAAAAAUAAAAAUCAAAACACAAUAUAUAACAAAAAAAAAGUAAUAUAAAUGUUUAUGUCACAUAACAACCAUUGGUUCCAAACAAAACCUGAAAAUAAAAAAACAAGACACCUGCCGUCAUUAGGUCCGGAUUUGCCUGAAAGGCAGAACUGCACAUGCAUUUUCCAUAGCAUGCCAAAGCCAAAUCAAUCUUACCCAUAGCGAGAAUUAAAACAAAACAAAAUAGUAACAACACCAAAAACAUCCUUUAUUCAUUGUUAAAGGUCUUCUGAAAUAAGAUUGGUUUCAAUGGCAAGUGGAAAUCAUAAAGAGAGCAACGAAAGGACAAAAAUCGAUCAAAAAACCCUUACUGAAAGAAUAAACAACACACCUUCGCCUCGUGUGUUCUCCAUCAAUUUGUUCAAGAGAAAAAGGACAAGAACUGUAGUAUCACCACCUCCAUCCUCUCUCAGUAGCUUCUUCUUCUCCAAUGUGCAUACCUUUUUGGUUCUCACAUGCCUCCUCUCCCUCUUCUGAAUCAUGACUACAAUUGAAGAAAACAACUCUAAUCCCACCUAAGAACAAUGCUCUAAUAUCAAAUUUGAUACGAGACAAAAAAGAUUGAAGUUGAAGAAGAAAGAAAAGAAGAAGAAGCCCGAAAAAGAAGAAAAAGCUGAUCAAAUACUAAAACCAUAACUAGAAUAAAUAAUUAAGUUUAUAAUCCACUAAAUAAAAUACUAAAAAAUAAUUAAAUCAAAUCCAACAAAUAAUAUCUAAUUAAUAAAUUUCAACUAAAAGUUCAAAUAAAUAAAAUUAAAACAUAAGCUAAAGCUUAAUCGCUUAAUGAUUUGGACUACCCUCUAUCAUUUAUGAUUAUAUGAAUACAUGUUUCGAGUCAGUAUCCCCACAUUUUUUUUGUUUUUGGUGGAAACAAAAAGAGGUGCAUAUGUUUUUGUUAGGAAAAAAAUUUCUUGCCCUAAAAUAAGAAAAAAAAGUUGCACCUAGAGGUGAUCAUUUUCGGUUCGGUUCAGUUUUUAUCAAAAAAGUAACCAAAUGUACUACAUACUUUUUACCGAUCGAACCAAAUGUACUAUAUUAUCAGUAGUUGUAGCUACUUCUGAAACAGUUGGUGCGAUGGGUGCGAGUGAAGGUGCUGGCAUAGGAGCGGCAACACUAGUCAUACCUUCCACUACUGCUUUGAGUAGCUGGGCUAGGAGCAUCAAAUCAACAUAAGAAACAAAUGGCCUUCCAAGUGUAGUCUGUGGGGGCUCCUCUGCUCGUUCCGGUAGGGUUGACACGGUCGGCUGAACAUCCCCAGCUUGCCUCGGUACUUGUCUGACUUGAGGCCCCGUCGAUUCUUCAUGCCUUGCUUGCUUCGAUACUGCUGGUGCAUGUCAAGCAGUAUCUUCUAAAAGGCUCUCUUCUCGUCCCUCGUAAAAGUCUAUAUCUCUGUUCCCCUUCCCUAUAGAGGAUAGAUUUGUUCUAAUCUCUUGGCGAGUACGUACCAUCCUGCAAUAAAUUAAUAACAUCAUUACCCUUUGUUUCGAGUUUUUCCCAAAAUCCAUACGAGGGCUCUAAUACCAACUAUAACAAUCCCACCUUUUCAAUUUCGUCAACACUAAAAGAUCCCAAUAUAUACUCUUAAUUUGAGGGUAAAUUGUUUUUUUUCUUAUAUAUAUAUAUAUAUAUAUAUGAAAGUCUACCGAUAUUUUCACUGAAAUUUUGGCAAAGUUCCCUUUGUAUUUAGAACGUCCCAAGUUAUCGACUUCUUUCAAUUUACCCAUUCAAGCCAUCAAAACAAGGUCCCAUAAUUUUGAACUUUAUUUUACAUCAUUAAUACUCAACUCCUCAUACAAUUCAUGCACACAAUUUAUACACACACACACACACACACACACACCCUACGAAUAAGAUCAAUAUAAAUAUAGCCCAUAUAUCGUAUAAUAAAGUCUAGAAGAAAAAGGGAUACUAACAUGUAAUGAGAGAAUUUAAAACAUAACAUCAGUAUUCUUAAAAGUUUCAAAGGGUUAAAAACAAAGUAGCUAAGGAGUUCUUACUCAUACAUUAUAUCAAAGUUUACAUAAUUAACAUACUAUAUGCCGAGCCAAUAGUUUUGUAUACAUCAAGGUUUACACAAAAGCAUAUUGCGUAACCUAGCUAAUACUAUUAUGCUUGAGCUAAAUGUUUUUACAUAAGUUUAGCAAAGCAGAGUCCUAAAAACUAAUGAGCUCCCUGAGUAUUAGAUGGACCUGUUACAAUAACAACUUAAUAAGCAUACAAUUAUAUUGUCAACAGAAACAAAAAUGAUCAUAUAAUGAAUACAAAUAAAGCAUAAGUUUUCUAUUAGUUUCCCAAUAAUUUUAAUAAUCAACUUAUAAAUUCUUUCAUAUAUAUUUAAAAACUCAAUUAGACAUCAUUUACGUAUUCUUAAUUGAAUACUCUUAUUUUCUUGUAUGAACCUAGUACCUUUGCCUAAUUGGUUUUACUAAAUCUUUAACUUUGCAUAGUUCCACUUGGAUAGUUUAGGUAAUUAUACUUAUCAAUUCUCUCAGGUCAUCCAAACAUGGAUACCUUUUCCGAAUCGAGCCUUAUCGAUCAUUCCCAGGCAUCCUGACAUGGACGUCAUUAGCUGAAGCGAAUCUUGUAAUUCACUUCCCAGCAAUCCUAUCACGGAUGCCAUUAGCCUAAGAUAAUCUUGAGAUUCAUUUCCCGACAAUCCUAUUACGAAUGCAAUUAGCCGAAGCUAAUCUUGUAAUUCAUUUCCCGGUAAUCCUAUCAUGGAUGCUAUUAGCCGAAGCUAAUCUUGUUAAUACACCGGACUUUGUUUACAUUAAACAUAACUUAAUUGUCAUUGUCUUCAUCGGGAAGACUUUAAAUUACAUAAGAGUAAAGGAGAGGUAAAACCACGCACCUUCUCCGCCUGUCUCGUGACCUCCUUCAACAAAAGAUCCAAUCCUAGUCGCUCCGCCUAAAUCACAAAGAAGUCUUUGGUCAUGUUUCCUUUAAGCUAAAUGUUUAAGGAAAUCCAUAUUCAUUCAUUAUACAUAUGGUACUUUCCAUGCAUGUUCAUUUCCUCAUCAUAACAUACAUAUACAUAUCAAGUAUAUAUUUUCAAGGUUUUAUAUCAACGUGCAAGUGCCCCUACGACUAAGUUUGUUUUUGCAUCAACGUAAAUUAGUGACUUAUGACUCAUAACUGGAGUCUCAUAACUUUAAAUAAAGCAAACUUUGGUCAAUAAAAAGGUAACACAUUUAUCCAUAAUUUCAUUAAGGAUCAUGCAUGAAACUCUGUCAAUAUCAAAUCACAAACCAAAAAAGAAGUUAGACAGCAAAUUUGUCCAGCAGCUUCUAGCCUAACCUCCUCUCAGUAUUUUGCCUAUAUAUGGAGUUCUAUAACUCCUAAUAAAGUGAACUUUAUACCAAUUAAAAGGUAACACAUUUAUAUAUAACUACAUGGAGGAAAAUGCAUCAUACUCUAUCAAUAUAAAAUCCCAAACCGAACAAGAAGUUAGACAGCAAAUCUGUCCAGCAGCUUCCAGCCUAGCCUCCUCUAAGUAUUUUGCUUAUAUAUGGAGUUCUAUAACUCUAAAUAAAGUGAAAUUUAUGUCAAUUGAAAGGUAACACAUUUAUAAAUAUCCACAUGAAGGAAAAUGCAUGAUACUCUGUCAAUAUCAAAUCCCAAACUAAACAAGAAGUUAGACAGCAAAUCUAUCCAGCAGCUUCCAACCUAACCUUCUCUUAGUAUUUUGCUUGUAUAUGGAGUUUUAUAACUCUAAAUAAAGUGAAAUUUAUGUCAAUUGAAAGGUAAUACAUUUAUAGAUAUCCACAUAAAGGAAAAUGCAUGAUACUCUGUCAAUAUCAAAUCCCAAACUGAACAAGAAGUUAGACAACAAAUCUAUCCAGCAGCUUUCAGCCUAACCUCCACUUAGUAUUUUUCCUGUAUAUAGAGUUCUAUAACUCCAAAUAAAGUGAAAUUUAUGUCAAUUGAAAGGUAACACAUUUAUAGAUAUCCAUAUGAAGGAAAAUGCAUGAUACUCUAUCAAUAUCAAAUCCCAAACUGAACAAGAAGUUAGAUAGAAAAUCUAUCCAGCAGCUUCCAGCCUAACCUCCUUUUAGUAUUUUGCCUGUAUAUGGAGUUCUAUAACUCCAAAUAAAUGAAAUUUAUGUCAAUUGAAAGGUAAGACAUUUAUAGGUAUCCACAUGAAGGAAAAUACAUGAUACCAUGUCAAUAUCAAAUCCCAAACUGAACAAGAAGUUAGACAACAAAUCUAUCCAGUAGCUUCCAGCCUAACCUUGUCUUAGUAUUUUGCCUGUAUAUGGAGUUCUAUAACUCCAAAUAAAGUGAAAUUUAUGUCAAUUGAAAGGUAAUACGUUUAUAGAUAUCCACAUGAAGGAAAAUGCAUGAUACUUUGUCAAUAUCAAAUCCCAAACUGAAUAAAAAGUUAGAUAGAAAAUCUAUCCAGCAGCUUCCAGCCUAACCUCCUCUUAGUAUUUUGCCUGUAUAUGGAGUUCUAUAACUCCAAACAAAGUGAGAUUUAUGUCAAUUGAAAGGUAACACAUUUAUAGAUAUCCACAUGAAGGAAAAUUCAUGAUACUCUGUCAAUAUCAAAUCCCAAACCAAACAAGAAGUUAGACAACAAAUCUGUCCAGCAGCUUAACCUCCUCUCGGUAGUUUGCCUAUAUAUGGAGUUCUAUAAUUCCAAAUGAGGUAAGACCAGUGCCAAAAGUUAGCUAACUCAUUUAUCUACAACUUUCAUAUGUAAUGUUAUAACAAUUUCAAUCGACUUCUAUGCCUAACAUUAGCAUAAUUUCUAUACUUACAUAUUUGUAAUGGAAGUAACAUACAAACAUGUUUAAGUUUCUGUUUCAGCCCUUGAUUUAGCCUUAGGAUAACUAUGUAAGGUCAUAAUUAGCAGAGAUUAGUAUCAAAUUUCUAUUCUCUUUCUUUCUACUUUCAUGGUCGUCCCUAAAGAGGAUUUGUUCCACUAAUUUCUAUCAUUUUCUUUUGUCAUAGAAGCUGAAAAUGUUUAACUUCUCAUCUCAACCUUUUAAUUUCAUCAUUUGUUUUUUUUUUGUCAAAAUCAUGAAGUUCUAGGAACCCUAAAUUAUUUAUAUUGGGGUUUUUUCCCCCUUUGGAUUCAAAACAAAUCAAAUUAACAAUAGAAUAGCAAGGGCUUAUCCUUACCUCACGAUUUUAUCUAAAGAUGGAAGGUGUUUUCUUGAUGGUUUUCUUCUUCUCCUCUUUAUCACUGUUUCAGCCGGCCCUUGUGCCCUCCAAACCUCAAGAUUUUAUGGAUCUACACUUCCUAAUUACUCUCCUCUCUCACGUAGGUUCAUGCAAGGUGUUUUGGGUGAGAAAUGUGUGCAAUAAAAGGGAGCCAAUCUUCUCUCUUCAACUUGUUCUAAUUGAAAGUGAGAGGAAAGGUCAGGAAUUCUUUUUUUUUUUUUAAUGUAUUUAUACUCCCUUAUAUAUGCCUUAGGUCUUGUUUGGUAGUUUGGUCAAAUUUGUUCCUAACAUUACUUUUCUCCUUGUUGUGUGCUUUAGUUCUUCAUUUCACAAUUUGUUUAACAUCUCUCCCUCAUCCUUCCCUUCACACAUUUUAAUCCUUAGACAUUUGUUAGUUUUUAUACCCAUAUUUUUGUAAAAUAUUUGACUUCGUAAUUUAUUUUCUUAUUUUGAAUUCACCCUAUAAGUAUUGAAACAUUUUUAUUUUCUAAAAAUUUCAACUUGGGGUUUACAUAACCUUUAAGAAGAAGUGAAAAGAAAAGGUUGAAGCAGACAUCAUGAUUAUCCAAAAUGCAAUAUUUGAUCCCUGGUCCCAACAACAAAUCCAUAGUUAUCACAAAGAUCUAGUCCAUUUCUUUUGCCUUCCUUCUCUUACUUUUCUAGCUAUUUUUUCCUACUUUCUACUAUCCAUUCUAGAGCUUCAGAUUCUUAUAUUGUACAUAGAAUUUGAGUCUAGUUUUUUAACAGUUCAUAAACCUCGAUCCAUCAUACAAUUUCUCAAGAUGAUGCUGUUAUAAUUUAAAAAAACUAUUUAUAGAAGAUUUAUCUUCAAGGACAAGAGUUGAAUCCUUAAUAGCACAUUUAUACUCCCUACUUUUCAUCUAAAUUUCUUUAACAAGUAAGUCAUAUUUACUUUGUCAUUAUAUUUAUGUCAUCUAGAUUAAUACUAGUUAGAUGGUCUGCGCUAUACCGUGAGCCAACGUUUUAUUUUCAUAAAAAAUAUCAAAAAAAUAUAAGACCCAAGAGCGUUGAGUCUAACUGUAACACUGGAUCUAAAAGCAUUGAGUCUGACUGUAACACUAGAUCUAAAAGUAUUGAGUCUGGUUGCAACACCAAACUCAACAAUAAUAUUUAUAAUAUAAAUAAUAAUAUUUAACUUGUCUGCCUAUAUUGUUAUAUUUUUAAAUCUUUAAAAAAAAAUUAUGAUUUUUCUUCAAUAGUAAUAAUAGUAUUAUUUUAAAUUUAUUAAUAAUAAUGAUAAUAAUAAUAAUAAUAAUUUUUAAUUUUACCUUUUAAAUCAAAUCUAUGGUGGUUUUUCAAUAUUGAUAAUAAUGUUUUUCAAAUUUAUUAAUAAUAUUAAUUAUAAUAAAAAUAAUAACAUUUAUAAUACAAAUAAUAAUAUUUUUAAUAUUAAUACUAUUAAUUAUAAUAAAAAUAAUAAUAUUUAUAACACAAAUAAUAAUAUUUUUAUAAUAAUAUUUUUAAGUAUAAUAAAAAUAACAAUAUUUAUAACACAAAUAAUAAUAUUUAGAAACCUAAAACACAUUAGUGUUGGAACUUGACGCCGGACCCAAGAGAAUUAGAUCCUAACACAGGUCUUAGGAGAAUUGGGUUCUAAAACAAGACCCAUUACCCUUGGAUCCUGAUGCUGGCCCCAAGAGAAUUGGGUUGUAAUGCAAGUGAGUUGGGUCCUAACGCAUGACCCAUCAGCCUUGAGUUUUGAAGCCGAACCCAAGAUAAUUGGGUCCUGAUGCAAUUCCCAAGAGAGUUAGGUCCUGACGUCGGACUGAAGAGAAUUAAGUCCUGACGCAGGACCCACUACUUAUGGGUCCAAACGCUGGAUCCAAGUGUAAACCCCAAUUGAAAAUUAGUCUGAAAAGCAAUUUAAAUGCUUAUAGAAUAGAUUUAUCAGAAGUACCAAAUAAGCAUUAGAACAAACCAUGUAAAAUAAAAAACAGAAAAGUGAAUAAAAUAUUACUAAGAGUGAAUUACCUAGAAAUAAAAUUAUCAAUAUGUAACUAAAUGAAAAUCGAAUUCACCCGGAUAAAAAGUUUAUACAGAGAAAUACUAGGAUCCAAGAAUUUUAUCUCAUGAACAAGAAAUUUACUAUUUAGGAUAUAGAGGGAAUUUGGUAAAAAGUUUAUAUAUAUAUAUAUAUAAGUGUGCAUGUGUGUGGGCAAGAAGAAAAAAGAGAGAAAAAGAAAUAGAGAGAAAUAGGGGAAACUAUCAUUUACAUGUGAGAGAGAAAACAAAAUGAUAAAAACAUAAAAUCUUAAGAGGAGAUCUUGAGGGAACAUUAACCAAACUUAGUGAGCAUUAAUUGGAAGGAAGAAAAACCUAGAAAAAAAGGAGGGAAGUUCAACCAAGAUUAAAGAAAAGAGGAGUUGGAAGCUUGAAUUGGGUAGUGUUUAGAGUCUUAUUAUUUGCUUGGUAGGGCAUUCUAAAGACUUUUAAUUUGAUUUUUAAUGGCUUAAAGUCUUUAAUUGAUUGAAUUUUUGAAAUUUGGAAAGUUAGGGUUCUUGAAUGAAUUUGGAAGAAAUAAAACUUUACUGUAAAUUAUCAUGGGGAAUAAUGUGAAAGUUAGAGUAAAGUAAUUAAAUUAUUGUAGUUGAAGUAAAAAAUUUUGAUAAUUAAAUAGGGCUAGUGGUUAACCAAUGAUGAGAGUUUUUCAAUCUUAUUUUAUGCUACUCUGUUAGUGCUUUAUACUCCAUGAUGUGAAUUGAUGAACAAUGUAGGCAAUAGAACUAUUUUUUUGAAUAUCUCUUUACAACUUCUUAAAUUUCAUGGAGAUGUCUGAUGAGGAAUAUAGUUGAUUGUUGGUCCUUAUUAGAUUUUGUAUGUAAUGGAGUUAUGAGACGUUAAUAAUUCAUUAGAGAUGUUAAUUUGAUGGCUAAAAUCCAUGAAAUUCAACGGGACUAUUACAAAAGGUGAGAUAUUUAAGACAGUAACAAAUCAAACAUUAACAGUUGAGGUUUAAGACAGUAACAGAUCAAAUAGUAACGGUUGAGGUCUAAGACAGUAACAGAUCAAAUAGUAAUAGUUGAGGUCUAAAACAGUAACAGAUCAAACAUUAACAGUUGAGGUCUAAGACAGUAACAGAUCAAAUAGUAAUAGUUGAGAUCUAAAACAGUAACAGAUCAAGCAAUAACAGUUGAGGUGUAAGACAGUAACAGAUCAAGUAGUAAUGGUUGAGGUCUAAGACAGUAACAGAUCAAACAUAUAUAUAUAUAUAUAUAUAUAUAUAUAUAUAUAUAUAUAUAUAUAUAUAUAUGAGAACUGAGUUGUGUGGACACUUGCACGUUGAGAUACUGACUCUGAAAAUAUAUAUGAUAUGUGUAUAUAUGUUAUGAUGAAGAAAUAAACAUGCAUAAAAAGUAACAUAUGUGUAAUGAAUGAAUAUGGAUUCAGGAGGAGUGACCAUGAUUGGAUCUUCUGUUGGGGGAGGUCACGAGACAGGCGAAGCAGGUGCGUGAUUUUCCCUCCUCUUUGCACUUAUGCAAUUUAAAUAUAUUUUUUUGGUGAAUGCAAUUACAAUAAAUGUCAUGUUCAAUGUAAAUAAAAUCUAGCAUAUUUACAAAAUUAGCUUCGGCUAAUAGCAUCUGUGAUAGAAUUGCUAGGAGAUGAACUACAAGAUUAACUUUGACUAAUGUUGUCCGCGUUGGGACGCCCGAGAACGAUUGAUAAGACUCGAUUUGUAAAGGGUAUCCGUGUUUGAAUGAUCUAGGGGAAAUUGAUAAAUAUAAUUGCCUAAAAAUGUCUAAGUUGGACUAUACAAAGUCACCCGGUUCAUGCAAGUAAAUAAGAGUAUUUAAAUUAAGGAUAUGCAAAUGAGUUUUAAUUGGGUUUAAAUGAUUUACAAGCAAAUUAUAAGUUGAUUGUUAGAAUUCCUAUGGAUUCGAUAGAAAAUUUAUACUUCAUUCGUAUACAUUACAUGAUCAUAUAUAUUUCUUUUAUCAACAUAAUGGUAUGCUUACUUAGUUGUUUGUGUAACAUGUCCAUCAACUGUCCAGGGAGAUCAUUAGUUUGGGACUCCACUUUGUUAAGCUUAUGUAAAUAUUUAACUUAAGCAUAAGGGAAUUAACAUGAUUAUACAAUAUGUUUUUGUGUAAAUCUUGAUGUAUAUAUAAAAGUCUUAGCUCAACAUAUAGUACAUUAGUUAUCUUGUAAUUAACUCUUUUGAAAUGUUUAAAAAUACUUAUUAUAUUUUAAAUUUUCUCUUUACAUGUUAGUAUCCCUUUUUCCUUUUAAAUAUUAUAAUAUGAUUUGUGGGAUAUAUAUAUAUAUAUAUAUAUAUAUAUAUAUAUAUAUAUAUAUAUAUAUAUAUAUAUAUAUAUUGUGUGGAUUGUAUGAGGUGUUGAAUAUUGAUGAUUGAAAUAAAGUCUGAAAUUAUAGGACCUUAUGAUGAUGGGUUGAUUGAGUAAAUUGAUAGUAGUCGAUAACUUGGGAUAUCCUAAAUACAAACGAAACUCUACCAAAAUUUUGGUAGAAAUCUUUACAAAAACAAUUACCCUCAAAUUAAGAGCAUAUGAUGGGGUCUUUUAGCGUUGAUCAAAUUGUACAGUUGAGUCUGUUACAGUUGGUAUUAGAGCCCUGGUAUGGAUUCUAGGAAGAAUUCAAAAGAGGUUAUUGAUGUUUGUUAAUUUAUUGCAGGAUGGUACGUACCCACCAAGAGAUUAGAUCAGAUCUAUCUUCAACAGGGAGGGGGAAUAAAGAUAUAGACUUUUACGUUGGGCAAGAAGAGAACCUUUUGAAAGAUACUGCUUCACAUGCACCAGCAGUAUCGACUAAAGCAGGGCAUGAAGAAUCGAUGGGGCCUCAAGUCCGACAGGCACCAAGACAAAGGACCCAUUAGCCUUGGAUCCUAAUGCCGAACUUAAGAGAAUUAGGUUCUGAUAGAGGACCCAUUACAUUUGGGUCCUAACGUCAGAUCCAAGAAAAUUGAGUGUUGACGCAAGACCCAUUAGCUUUGGAUCUUGACACUGAACCAAAGAGAAUUGAGUUCUGACACGGGACCCAUUAGCUUAUGGUUCUAAUGCAGGACUCAAGAGAGUUUGAUCCUAACACCAAAUCCAAGAGAAUUGGGUGUUAACGCCGAAUCCAAGAGAAUUGGGUUAUGACACAGGACUCAUUAGCUUGGGUCUGGACACGGAUACAUUACCAAUGGGUCUAGACGCCGGACACAACAACCUUUGGUACGAUACGAACCCCAGAGUGGGCUAGAUAGGGCUGCAAGACCCAAGUGAUUUGGGUCUGCUCUUUUGCCAAACCCAAGUAACUUGGGUGAGGCACCCCUUUCCAGCCCCAGGAUUUUUAGGUCUGGAAAGGGAUGCCUAACCCAAGUUAAUAACAAUAAUAUUAUAUUUUACCUUUAAAAUCAAAUUUAUGUUUUUUUAUAGUAAUAAUAUUUAUUUUAAUUUUAAUAAUAUUAAUUAAUUGAAUAAUAUUUAUAAUAAUAUUUAACUUAUCUGUCAAAGUUCUUAUAUUUUUUAAUCUCUUAAAAAAAACAUUAUAGUUUUUUUUCGAUGAUAAUAAUAUUUUUUUAAAAUUUACUAAUGAUAACAACAACAACAACAAUAAUAUUUAAUUUUACAUUUUAAAUCAAAUCUAUUAUUAUUUUUUAAUAAUAGUUUUUAUAAAUUUAUUAAUUAUUAUAUUAAUAAUAAUCAAAAUAAUAAGAUGUUAUGUGGGAGGGUCUGCACCCAUCACGGUUCUGGAGACCCAGGUAAUAUCACAUUAAUAGUGAAAGAUCUACUCAACCAUGAUUUUAAAAGUUUUCCUUGACGAACAUGCGACGUUUUUUAGCCAAGAAAAUACGAUGUCGUAGGGCAAUCUUUAAAAAUUAUUUUUAUUUAAUUCUGUGGUAAUUAAGAUAAAUACGUGUAGGAAUUCUGAUAAUUUAAAUUAUGGAGAAUAAACUUAUUCAUUGUUCAAUAAACACUGUGAUUUGUGAGUGUAUGCACAGUGUUGUUUUAUGUACAGAAAGAAAAGGGAGCCAUGUUUUAGUUUAUAGUGUUAGUGUUACUAUUUCAUGAGAAGCUAAUCCUGUAUUAGUUUUUGGUAGUUCAGAAAUUAAUGUGAUUUACUUAGCUAAUCCAGUUCCCAUGAGAAGCAAAAGAUCCUGUAUAAAGUUUUCUAUAAUGACAUUUUGUAUUUAAUUUUUUUGUUUUAAAAGAAGUUAAAUUUUUAUAAUUUUUUUCAAAAUAAUUUUUUAUUUUUUUAUAUUAUUUGAAUAUGCUGAUUUUAAAACUAAAUUCUAAAUAAUAAUAAAAAAUUAUUUAAAUAUAUUUUUAAAAAACAACUGAAUUUUUGCAGAAAACCCAGCUAUAAAUUAACAUCUUUAGCCCGUGACGGUAACCGGCAGUUCUACCCAUGACGGUGGCGGUGAGUCCUCCCAAUUGUACAUGUCGGAUCCUUCUUGCCCGGGACGGUGAUGGGCAAUCCCGCCUGUCAUUUCAGUGUGGCCCCAGGUGAAAUGAUUUUAAAAUAUAAAAAAAUUAGCUUUUAAUAAUUAAAUAAUUUUAAUUUAAAUUGAGGAAAAAAGACUUCUUAACAAAAUAAAACUUACGAUAUUACAGUAACAAACAUGCUAAAAAACAUCUUCUUUUUCAAAGCAUGCAACUACAGGACCAGCCAUAUUAAGCUGCUUGUGAUAUUACUCCUCAUACAACCAAAUCAAUCCAUAACCUACGAGAUUUAUUGCAACUCUUGCUUACUUUUCAAUUCCAUAACCUAUGCUUGCUUUCAAAUAUAUAUAUAUACUAACUUUGAACGACAAACAUGUUUGUAAAUUAAGAGUGAAAGGAAAGUUGAAAAUCACAGGGAGAGCCUUAUAUAUAUAUAUAUAUAUUACUCCUCAUAGAAUUUCAUGAAGCAUUGAGGUUCUGGGCGAGAAGUUGACCACUCCUGAUAUUCUGGGCUUCUUCAAAAGCCACAAGCUCAAUGAUCGAUGGUCUUCUGGGAAAGUUGAAAGAAACACUGAAUACCCUCAACGGACUUCUCGACGACGCGGAGGAGAAGUAGAUUACCAAGCCUGCUGUGCAGAAGUGGCUUAAUGAUGCUAGACAUGCUGUGUAUGAAGCUGAGGACUUAAUGGAGGUGAUUGAAUAUCAACAUCUACGAUCCAAGGAUAUUAAAGCUGCCUCUCGACGAGUUAGGAAUCGGGUAAGCAUAUGGUUUUGCUCUUGUAGACCUUGCUUUCUCGUAUAAUGUUAUUAUCGAUCCCUCUGAUUUUUACAAGCACAAUUCGAAAUUGUAAGAUAUCAGAAAAUUUCAUAUCUUUUCUUGAAAUAUUUCAUGCAAACAACACCCCUCAAUUAUGCUAAUUUAUCUCAUGCAACCAAUCCUAUGAUACUAUCCUGCAACCACUACUCAUUAUUAUUCCAACAAAUUCCAACCACUUUUUAAUAGCCCAGCCUGGCCAAGCUGUCAACUUAAUUAAAACAUGUUCAAUCUAGAAUUUGAAUUAAAUUGUUUUUUUUAAAACAAAAAUCAAAGUUGACCCAUUAAUUUUUAAAAAAACAUUAGCACUAAAUGUUAAAUAUUGGUGUCAUAACACCUUUGAAAAAAAAAUUAGUGGAAUAGCUUAUUUUCACAUUUUUAAUAGCAAUAUUUAGUAAAUAUUAUUUUUUUGAAGUGCAACAAAGUGAAAGUCCAAUUAUUUGACUUAAUUAGUUAGUUGAUUGAAUUUAAUUGUAUUAACUAGUCGAUUAUUUCACAUAAAAACCAUAAUUUUAUGAAUUUUUUCUUUCAAAUAUAAAUUAUGAGUCAAAAUAUACAUGUGUCUAACAUCUAGACUAAAAAAUAGAUUUCAAUUAAAGUUUUAAAAAAAUUAUUAUUUACAUAGUAGUUGUUAUCUAUUUUUCAAUGUCAAUUAAUGAUGUAGAAAAGCUUGUGACAGUAAGUGAUUCUAAGUUGUCAGAUGUUUGUUUAUCAUAACUAUAUAAGGAUUGUCCUAAAUAAAUUAAAUGUAUGACCUAACAAAUAUAUUUAUAGACCAAUAAAAUAGUUUGAAGCUUAAGAGGAGAUUUGAUCCCACAAAGCCAGAAUAAUAAGAAAAAAAACCAUAAUUUUUUAUUUGACUAUUGAAUUGCACUCAAAUUUUUAUAGGAGUUUUUAAAAACCACAUUCUCUAUUGUAGUCACUGCAUUGCUAUGUAGACUGUUAAAUCUUUAGAUAUAAAAAAUCUCGUCAAAACCCCUUGAUUUUGGUAUUUUUAAGAUUUUUAUUAUUAUUUUCGGAAUUAAUUGACUAAUUUCAUUAACUAUUAUGAACAAGUCAAUUAAUUAAGUCAAAUGAUUAAAAUUUUACCUUAUCAGAACCUUAUUAGAAACAUAACAUUUAUUAAAUGUCACUAUUCGAAAAAACGACAAUUAUUUUGUGAUGCUUAGGAAUAGUAACAUUUAAUAAAGUUUCCAUUUCUAAAUCCAGCUAGUAGAAGGAUGAAAGAGAUGGGAGCAGAGUUACAAAAGAUCCAUGAGAAGCUUGAACGUUUUACUUAUACACAAGGGUGAUCUGCGCCAUAUAGAAGUUACUGGUGGACGCAGACCAUUGUCAGAGAAAACAACUCCACUGGUUAAUGAAUCUAAUGUAUAUGGAAGGGACGCUGAUAAGGAAGCCAUAAUGGAGCACUUGUUGACACAACACACCACAGAUGGCUCAAAUUUACGUGCGGUCCCUAUUGUGGGCAUGGGCGGGAUUGGUAAAACCACUCUUGCUCUGCUUAUCUACAAAGACGAAAGGGUACAGCAACGCUUCCAACUCAAGGCCUGGGUCUGGGCUUCUCAACAAUUUGAUGUUGCCAGGAUUAUUAAGGAUAUUCUUGAUCAACGCAAGAACUUGCCGCACCAAAGAACCAGAUGAAUCUCUAAUGGAGGCAGCGAAAGGGAAAAAACUUCUUCUUGUUCUAGAUGACGCGUGGAACAUCGAGUACAAUGAAUGGGAUAAACUACUGCUACCUUUGCGGUAUGUGGAGCAAGGAAGUAAGAUUGUCGUGACAACACGGGAUCAAGAUGUAGCAAAAGUCACGCAAACUGUCAUCACCCCUCACUGCUUGAAAGGAAUAAGCGAUGAAUAUUGCUGGAAGUUGUUUGCAAGGGAUGCAUUUAGUGGUCUAAAUUCUGAAGCAGUCUCACACUUGGAAGCAUUUGGCAGAAAAAUAGUGAGAAAGUGCAAAUGUUUGCCGCUGGCAGCGAAAACUCUUGGUGGUCUUUUGCACUCCGUAGAAGAUGUCAAGCAAUGGGAGAAGAUAUCCAAUAGCAGUUUGUGGGGUUCGUCGAAUGAAAACAUCCCUCCAGCUUUAAAAUUGAGCUAUUAUUAUCUCCCUUCACACCUGAAACGUUGUUUUGCUUAUUGUGCAAUAUUUCUCAAAGGUUAUGUAUUCAAGAAGGAUGGAUUAAUCACUGAAUGGAUGGCACAUGGUUUUUUAUUCCAGCCAGAGGUGUUGAGGAGAUGGAAGAUAUAGGUGAAAAAUACUUUGAUGAUCUUGUCUCCAGGUCAUUUUUCCGGCAAUCACUUUAUGCUCCAUCAUAUUUCAGCAUGCAUGACAUCAUAAGUGAUUUAGUUGAAUACGUGUCAGGAGAAUUUUGCUUUAAGCUUGGUAUUAAUGAAUCGGGAUCUGGGUUGGAGGGUGAACAUUCAUGCUCGCUUCCAGAAAGGACUCGUUAUUUAUCAAUCACUUCAGCGGCAGUUCGGACAUUUCGUAGCAUUCAUGGAGUCCAACAUUUGCGCGCCUUGUUUCCACUAUAUAUUUUCGGGGAAGAUGAUAGUGAGGCACUGAAUGACAUCUGGCUAAAUCUUAAGCGCUUGCGAAGGCUAUCUUUAUGUCAUCUAAAAGAUAUUUCUUCUCAGUUGCUCAAUUCCAUUGGCAACUUAAAACAUUUGCGGCACUUGGACCUUUCUCGCACCGCCAUUAAAAGGUUACCUAAAAGUGUGUGCACUUUGUACUAUUUGCAAAGCUUAUUGUUAAAGAAGAGCCGACAUCUCAUGCAGUUGCCAUCCAACCUUUUCAACUUGGUCGCCUUACAACAUCUUGAUAUUGAGGGGACAAAUCUGAAAAAGAUGCCACCGAAAAUGGGGAAACUCACAAGGCUUCGAACUUUGCAAUAUUACGUAGUGGGAAAAGAGAGGGGGUCUAGCAUGAAAGAGCUGGGGAAGCUCUCACAUUUAAGGAAAAAACUUUCUAUUCGGAAUCUCAGAGAUGUUGCAAAUGCUCAAGAUGCUUUGGAUGCCAAUUUGAAGGGUAAGAAGAAGAUUGAGGAGUUGAGGUUGAUAUGGGAUGGCAAUACAGAUGACACCCAACAGGAGAGAGAAGUACUUGAGAAAUUGGAGCCUUCUGAAAUUGUGAAACAGCUUGCCAUUAAGGGUUACGGGGGUACAAUGUUUCCAGACUGGCUUGGAAACUCUUCUUUCUUAAAUAUGGUAGCGUUGACUCUUUCUGGAUGUAAGAACUGCAUCUCCUUACCACCAUUGGGGCAGCUGCCAUCUCUUGAAGAGCUCCAUAUUGAAGGAUUUGAUGAUGUCGUGGCAGUUAGUUCUGAGUUCUAUGGAAGCGACCCUUCGAUGGAGAAGCCAUUUAAAUCCCUCAAAAUAUUAAAGUUUGAGGGGAUGCGAAACUGGCAGGAAUGGAAAACAGAUGUAGCUGGUGCUUUCCCUCAUCUUGCAAAUCUCUUGAUAGCAGGUUGUCCCGAGUUAACAAAUGGCUUGCCUAAUUACCUUCCUUCUUUAUUGAUACUUGAGAUUCAAGCGUGUCCACAGCUUGUGGUUUCAAUUCCAGAGGCUCCCCUGCUCACCGAAAUCAAUGUAAAAGUCACUAAAACUUUCAUCCCCUCUCACCGCUGGAAUGCACUAAGCGAUGAAGAUUGCUAGCAGGUUCUUCUUGCAAGGUAUGCAUUUUAGGGAGAGGAUAUCCAAUAGCAGUAUGUUACUAAAAAAAUAUUUUUAAACUGUAUAUAUAUAUUUUUUAAAAUACACUAGGUAUAUUAAGUUUGUAAAGCAAUGGGAGGAGAUAUAUUAAGUUACUAAAACAAGGUGUUUAUCAUUUUGUUUGGUUGUCCAUAAGGUUUUGUUACGCAACUAUAUAAAAAUAAAAAUCAUAAUUUGUCGACAUUACGGCACAGAAUUGUGAAAUUCAUCCUCUCUUGCCAUCGAAACCUGAGAGUGUUUUGACUUUUGGAGUGGAGGGCAGAAAUAAAAUUGUAGUUAUAUUAAGUUAUAAAAAAAAUAGUUUUAAACUGUAUUUAAAAAAAAUACAUUAGGUAUAUUAAGUUACUAAAUUUUUUUAUUAAACUGUAUUUUUUUUUAAAAUACAUUAGGUAUAUUAAGUUUGUCAAGCAAUGAGAGAAGAUAUAUUAAGUUACUAAAAAAAUAUGUUUAUCACUUUAUUUUUAUUUCUCGUAAAAGUCGGUUACGCAAUCGAAUCGGGGAUGAUUGGUUGAAUGAUUGUUUGGUUACUUAUAUCGAAAAAAAUAUAUUUGAAAGUGUUGAUAAUGGAAAGAUUCUAUAACGUUUUCAGCAUAUGAAGUCUUGCAGGGAUUUCACGGAGCAUCUUUUUAUAAUAUAUGUGAAUUUUUAAAUUUUAUAUUAGAAGCUUAAAAUUUUUAGAUUUUUUAGAUCUUAAUUAAUUUAGUUAUAUUAUUUUGCUAUCUAUGAAAACUCGAUCUGGAUCCGUCCUUUAUCAAAUGAAGUAUAUAUCAUGUUGAAACCGGUAAUGAGUUUCGAUUGAUAGAAGAAUCAGGAAAAAAAAAUUAAAAUAGAUGUGCUUUGAGAGUGAUAAAAUAAUUUCAAGGAAUCAUAGUAAAAUAACUUAUAUGGUUCUAGCAAUAUUGAAAAAGAAAAUUUGGAUUUAGACAUAAAAUUAUAUAUUGACUAGUUUUACGCUAUUGAGCAUGACUCUCAAUUCGAUCUUUCGAUUGAGUUGAAAGUCCACAAGAAGACUUCUGAUAUAUUGCUCUAUCUUGGGUUAAAAGUUUAGGGUAGGCCAUCAUAGAAUAUCAACAGUCGAACUAAAAAUAACAUGUAGAUUCAUUAAUGAUAUUUUCAUAAAUAAGCUAGAAAAACUAAAAAUUUAGUUUCUUCUUCCCCUCUAAACUACCGGCUAGUGCUAAAACAACUAUAAUAGAAAAAACAAAUUGAGAGCUUACUCAUUGGAACCCUUGAAUCAAGAUUUAAGGCAAGAUAGGUGAGGGAAUAAAUAUUAAACACAUCUCGACUAAGUGCCAUCCUAUAAAUUUGUUUUCAAUUUGCAUUUGAUGAAAAAUAUACAAGGAAUCAUAAAUGAAUUAACUUAAGCAUUGCGAAGGAAAUAUCAAGAUAUCAUAAAUGUGUUGACAAGUUAAAAAGUUUUGAAACAACAAAUUUAAAUGAUAAGGGAUGAAGGAUGAAAAUAUUUAGUUGAUGAGAUUUUUUUUUGGUGUGAAAGACAUAGCAUUGAUAUUUCAAAAAUAAAUGAUGUGUUUGUCAUUUGCAGCCGAUCAAGGUGUAAUACCCAACAAUUAAUAAACUUGUAUCAUUAACAGGCCGAGCUGUUCUAUACAACAAUUGACAUGCAACUUCACGAGCUUAACAAUUGUUUUAUCAAGAUACACAUGGAGUUGCUUCCUUGCAUUGCAUGUUUGAAACUCAAUCUCUAUAAUAUUAUAAAUAGGUUAGCAUUGCAAUAACAAAAAAAAAAUAUGAUAACCAUGACAAUAAUAAUAAUAAUAAUAUGAAUAUGUAUAUUUUUAUUAGUUGAUGGAUCAAUUUGAAAGCAUCAAAGUACUUUUUUGUAAAAAUAAACUAAUAAAUGGUACACCCGAGGCAAAAUUAUAGCCAAUAUAGCUUGUUGGCCAAGGGAAAGUGUCACGGGGGUAUUUUUCGCUACGCGAAUAAACCCGUGCGGCAGCCUAGUCCUUCGCUAGACUCAGCCUUCCCUCACCAAUCUCACUCGUGUUUGCCUAAUAACUAAGCAAGCGGAAUACACAAGCAAGGAUAAGAAUCAUAGUGCACAACAAGCUUUACAGGAACUCUUUCCCAACCUUUAUUAAUCUCAUACACAAAGGAAACUAUACACAAAUCCGUAUGUGUGCUAUGCACAAAGAUUACAUGCUACACUAAGCUACCUCUAACUAGUGUUCUACACAUGUUCUUGCAUGCCCCUACAUGCUGGACAUUCCCAACCGAAUGCCCUUACAAUCUGAACAUUCCCACCUGAAUGCUCUCCCACAACCAAGAGCUACAUCUUGUAUUUAUAGACAAGCAAAGGAGCUGCAAAGGCUCCUCCCCAUUAUCCCCCAUUUUCAGGACCUAGUGGAGCACUACCUCUCUCCCAUGAUCCCAUGUUUUCAGGACAUGGUGGAGCACUACCUCUCACCCAUGAUCCCAUGUUCUGCCUCCCAUGAAGCUGCCACUCUCCUUAUUUUCUGGCUGUCUACUUGGCAGCCCCAGCUGCCAGCUUCUGCUGCGUCAGCUGCUGACUUAGAAGGUCCAUCAUCUAAGCCCCCACGUCCAUGUCAAGUCGCAAGCUCAAAGACUCGCAUAGACCAUUGCAUGCUGCCUGCCGAAUUCAUCUCUGCCUAUGCAAGGCUGCCGCGAUCCAUCGCUGCCGAAUUCUAAGCAGAGUGCCUUCGUUGGCGCGUCCCAGCGCCUAGAGCUCUUAGCCCAUGCCUUGGACAGUCCUUCGCCCAAGUUUUAGAUCGUGCCAAGUCGAGCCCCUGACUUGCACAAGUUUGCUGCGCGCUGCCGAGUCCGCAUCUGCAGGCAAGCUGCCAAUGCGCUGCCGAAUUCGCAUAUGCGUGCUGCCAAUCUCUGCGCUGCCGAAUUCGCAUCUGCGUGCAGGCUGCCCCUGUCUACGCUGCCGAAUUCUGCGAUAGUCCCAAUUCUCGUCAGCCUAUCCUCCUGACGAGGCUUGGACAGUCCCUCGUCCAGCCCAUGUUCGUCAACAAUCUGCGCUGCCGAUUUUCCCUUUGACGAACCUACAGCCGCAUAAAUCUGCGCUGACGAUUUCUCCCACUGAUGGCAUGGCUGCCAGCACCCUUCGGCCUUGUUUUGGCCAGCCUGCCGAAGCGUGCACCUCGUGCACAUUUGACACUGUGACAGAAAGAGUCUUUUCGUUUGUAGUUUUGGAGUAGCAAAUAAUGGCUUAUGAUAAGCAAACGUUGAUUCAUCUUGCUUAAUUCUAUCUAUCUAUUUUCUUCAUAGUUGAGCUUGCAGCACUUAUAAUCAACUGGAAACUUAUAUUCUUGACAUGAGAUCCUGUGAAGAAUUUCCAAAGCUAAAAGAAAUCAAUUAUUCUGCUAAAAAAUUGGUAAAGACAAACUAUUUCAUUAGAAAAUAAAAUAUUUUCAGCGAUGAAAUUGAUUAAAAAUUGAUUACGCAAUCGAAUCAGAGAUGAUUAAUUAAAUGAUUGUUUGAUUAUGAUUACUUAUAUCGAAAAAGAUAUAUUGAGAAGUGAUAAUAAUAAGAAAAUCCUAUAUUUCAACAUAUAAAAUCUUGCAAGGAACAAUUAUAAAUUAUAUAAAAAAGAAUUUCAUGAAUCAUCUUUAUAUAUAUAUAUAUUACAAAUUUAUAAUUUUAAGAUUUUUUAAAUCUUAAUUAAUUUAAUUAUAUACUUAUAUUAUUUUAUACGUUAAAACUGGAGUCCAUCCUUCAUCUUAAUGGCAUAGAUGAAAUAUCUUAUUUAUGCCCAUUUGAAGAUAAUUAAUCCAGACUUAAUCCACUUGAUGAUGCCUUAAUCAUGCUGAUAAAAAAAGAUUAAUACAUUAAGCACAAGUGUUGAUAUAAUCAGUGGCAGAGCCCCGGGGCUGGCAGGACCCGGCCUUGUAAGAAAAUGUUCUUGUCAAUAUUUUUUUAAUAAUAUUUAUAGUUUCAGCUCAAAUAAUAAAAUAACUGAAAUCUUUGCCUUCUAAAAUAUUUUUUUUAAUUUUAUUUUGUGACCCAGCCCUAAAUAUAAUAUAAAUAAUUUAAUAUUGUUAGGAAGUUUUAAACCGGCUUCCAUGAAUUUAAUAUUGCCUAUCAUUUCAGCGUGUCCCGAGGUGAAAACAUUUGGCCUUUUUUUUUAAUUACUGAAAACUUAACAUGUCAUGUGCUAAAUUCUUUUUUUUAUUAUUUACGUGGGGUGUCCGGGCCAGCUUACGCGCACCACGACUAUUCCCCACAGCCCGCUGGACAUCCUGCAAGCCCAGGAGCAGGUAAGGCACCGCGGAGGUGACAGGCGUGCACAUAGAGGGUCGAACCCGGGACGGGAGCGGAACAAGUCACACGAUUGACCACAACAGCUAGACCCUCAAGUGCAUCAUGUGCUAAAUUCUUGAAGAACCCAGUGAAUGCCAAAAUUAAAGAUUCAUUUUGAAAAUUAAUUUGAAAUAAAAAUGAAAAAAUAUAAUUUUUUUUCAAAAAUACUUUUACAUCCAGAAACAAAAAUGACCUUAUGUAAGGGACAUGCACGUAUCCACUUAGAUAUAAAACCCCAGCCAAGAAACCAAAGAAGAGAAGUAGAGAACGGUAGCUCAGGGGAGCGUUUGGCAUGGAAAAAUGAAAGGGCACGGUCGUAUAUAUUCUUUGGAUUUCCACAUUGGUAAUAUAUACAUGAAUUUGUUUUUAUAUUAAGAAUUAUGUUUUAUGAUUGUUUUAAAUAAAAUUUGCUUUAAAUUAAUAUUGUUUUAGUAUUGUUAAAUUAUUUUAAUGUAAUAAUAUAAAAAAUAAUUUUUUAUUUUUUUAAAUAAAAAAUAAUUAUUACCAUACUCACCAUCAAAACUUAACAAGUACGGUAGGUAUGCAUCAAAGAAAAACCAAAGGACGGUAGGUAUGCAUCAAUGCCAUAAAUAGAGUUUGUCUUGUUCAGAAGACUUUGAAAGUGGCUUCGUUGACUCUGCAGACACGAAGAAUAGUCAAAAGUCCUAAAAUUAACUCAUCUUUGCUAUCCACGGCGGCGCAUCAUUAGUGGGUUUGGAAAUUAACAUGGUGCUUCCGAUGAGCCAAGCUAUGUGUUCACAGUGAUUAAUUCGAAUGUGUAAGCAAUAUCGUUGCUAUCACCAUUUGCUUUGAAGGGCUAUUUAAAAAUAUAAUAGUAGUUAUUUCUUUAAAAUAUAUAUUAAAUAUAUAUAUUUUUUUAUUUUUUAAAAAUUAUUUUUGAUAUUAAUACAUCAAAUCAAAACAAAACAAAAAAUAUAAAAAAAUUAAUAUAAAAAAUUUAAUUUUAAAAAAACAUGAUUUUAAAUGCGAUCCCAUACAAUAGAUUAGAUAGAAAAAAAAAGGAAACUGGAAAAAAAACAUUAAUUAAAAUGAUAAAUAGAUAUAAAUAAAUUAUUUUUUCUUCAAAUUAGAAUCGUUAUUUUCUAUACACUAUUGUCGCUAAAAUUAUAAAAUCAUUUUAUAAUUUAUAAUCAUUUUCUAUAUAUUAUUGUUGCUUUUUUUCAUAUAUAUAUAUAUAUAUAAUCCUCACUAUGAAAUUCUGAAAGAGAGAACGGCGGCUAAAAGCAACAACAUUUUAGCUAGAUAAAUAAAGUUUAAUGACUUGAUAUGUUCUUAUAUUAUAAAAUAUUUCUUUGAUCUAUUUCUAUAUAUCUAAUUAAGUUAAUUUUAUUCUUUAAUAUAUAUUAAAUUUAUAAUUUAUCAUUCUUCUCAUGUAAACUCACUCCAAUUUGUCAUGUGUCUGUUACAUGCAAAACUAGAAGAUUAUAUUUAAAAUUUAACAUAUAUUUUAAAUAAAAUUGACUUAAAUAAAGAUAUAAUAGGUCAAUGAUAGAUAAAUAGCCCACUAUCGAAGGAUAUACUACGUUACUAAAAAAAAACCUGUUUAUCAAUUUGUGUGGUUGUCCACUAGGUUUUGUUCUCUCCAUUGAUAUUAAUUAUCAUCAGUAUCUGAAUGGCAUAGCAUAGGUUAAAAACUUAUUAUUAAUAUUUUAUGGAUGUACACAAGAAGAUAAUUAAUCCAUAAUAAUUUUUACGGUUUAACUGUCUAUAUAUUUUUAAAUUUUAUUAUUCGAUUAACAAAUUUAUUUAUACAUACCGCUUCCACGAGUUUUCUUGUCUCUUCCUUUCCUUUAAAGUCCCCGAAUUCCCAUCAUGGCUUAUUAGCUUUCUACUACUAUCAUUCUCUCUCUCACCCUUUCGCAAAAAUCGACAACUUCAUGACUCAGAAAUCUUGACCCCAUCUCCUAACAAUUCAUAGACAGGUAGGGUUCAGCAUUGCACCAUUCUUUUCAAGAACUGGUGGGAUGUCACAGAUUUCAAAUAGAUGGUAGGAAUGGACCUCUCGAUGAUAAGUAGGGCCCAAAUUGCCGCCCAAAGGCCAUUGUAGAUUCACGUUCAGAGAACAUCAGAUGCGAUGCUUAGCCGACAGUAGAGAAGAAUGAUUACUUCUGAAGAGAAUAUCAUUACAAAAUGAUCCCCGGCAAACAGUCAGGGAUGCCAGCACGGCCGGCUUACAUUGUUAAGCUUGUAACAAUCUAUAAUCAACUCGAAACUUAUAUUCUUAACCUGAGAUCUUGUGAAGAAUUUCCAAAGAUAAAAAGGAAUCAAUGAUCUUGCUCAGAAAUUAGUGGAGGCCAAGAAGGUUGUGGUUAGUAAUUUUACCUCGUGUGAAUAUAAUAUAAAUAAUUUAAUAUUGUUAGGAAGUUUAAAACCGGCUUCCAUGAAUCUUCUUGUCUUUUCUUUUCCUUUAAAAGUCUAUAUGGUUGUUCUCUUAAUGCAAUUCAUUGGAUUCUGCUUUCUACGGCCUUCUCUCUCACACCGUCCGCGAAGAUCCACCAUGGCUUCUGCUAUUGUCCUUUUUUUUUCUCUCCCGUCCUUUUGAUACUGUCGUCCUUCCGCAAAAAUCCACCAUGGCUCUGGGGUUGAGUAGAGGUUAAUUAUCUGUGCUGUCAUUGAGGUUUUGGUCGACAGGCUGUCCUCUCCUGAGGUUCUAGGCUUUUUCAAAAGACAAGCUCAAUCAAUGGAAAAGUUGAAGUUAAACAUUAAAUUAUUCUCCUUUUUUAUUUUUUUUCACAAGUAUUUAACCGUUCAAUUUGUAAGAACAUCAGUCUUUUUUAUAAGCCAACAAUUACACUUUUUAAAUUUGCUAUUAUAAUAAUUAUUUAUUUAUGUGAUAAUUUCACCAAUGUUUUUUUGGCCUUGUACCAAAUACCUUCUAAGAGUAAUACCAGAUGAAAUUUUUUAAAAUAUUUUUGAACCUCAUAGUUUCAUAUAUCUAUAUUUUAACCGUUAACUUCAUUUCUCACACGUUUCACUCUUUGACUAUUGAGUUUUGAUCCUUGCAAUUCUCAUAAAAGUACAUUUUGGUUCCUUAAGUUUUUAUUUUUAUUUUUGAUCCUUAUAAUUUCAGGUAUUUAUAUUUAAUUCUAAAAUUUUAUUUUCCUUACAUUUCAAUUCCUUUAUGUUGCGAUUAUAGAGAGAAAGUCGCUAGAAAAAAGAGAGGAAAGAGAAGUAUUUUGGUGAGUUGUAUUUCAAGAACAAAAAAUGUUGAUUUUGGAGAGUUGUAUUUUGAAUGAAACAGACCCAACCAAGGCCCCGAGUUACCCGGGUCCUGGGUUGACCCGUCAAGCGGGGCUGAGUUUGAUAACUAUGAUAACAACCAUGUCAGACCCAAGAUGUUAGGUAUAUCCUUGGAUCUAACGGCCAUAUCAGACCCAAUAGCCUUGGAUCUUACAUGACUACCAGACCUAGGGUCUGGUGAUUGGGUCUCGCAAUCAUGCCAGACCCCAACAUCUUGGACCUGGCUGCCAUGACUAAACUGAAAAAAAAAAAACAAAAUUUUGCAUAGUAACAAAUACAUAGUGAAAAUCCAACGUAUUUUAGUAUAUAAGUAAUAAAUUUAAUAAUUAACAUAUAAUGCAUGAUAAAAUUAGCAUUAAUUUUACCAGUGGCUACUGCAACAAUAAAGAAAAUAUUUUUAGCAUUCAAAUUGGUUAAAAAUCGAUUACAUGAUCAAAUUAGGGGUGAUUUGUUGAAUGAUUGUGUGGUUACUUAUAUCAAUAAAGAUAUAUUUAAAAGUGUUGAUAAUGAAAAGAUCCUACAAUGUUUUCACUAUAUGAAGUCUUGCAAUGAGCGAUUGUGAAUUUUAUAUAUAUAUAUAUAUGCAAUAUAUAUAUAUAUAUAUAUAUAUAUAUAUAUAUAUAGAAUUUUAUGAAAUAUCUUUUUAUAAUAUAUGUAAAUUUUUUAACUUUAUAUUAAAAAAUUAUAAUUUUUGGAUUUUUUAGAUCUUAAUUAAUUAAUGGAAAAGUUGAAGUUAAUUAUUAAAUUAUUCUCUCUUUUUUUCACAACUAUUUAACUAUUUAAUUUGUAAAUACAUCAGUCAUUUUAAAAAACCAACAUUUACACUUUUUAAAUUUGCUCUUAUAAUAAUAAUAAUUAUUUAUGUGAUAAUUUCAACCAUAUUUUUAAGCCUUAUACCAAAUACCUUCUAAGAGUAAUACCAAAUGAAGUUUUUUUUAACAAAACAUAUUUUUGAACCUAGUAGUUUUAUGUGUUUACAUUUUAACCGUAAACUUCAUUUCCCACUCGUUUCACUAUCUGAAUAUUGAGUUUUGGUCCUUGAAAUUCUCAUAAAAGUUCAUUUGGGUUCCUAAAAUUUUUUCUUUUAUCCUCGUAGUUUUAGCUAUUUAUUUAAUUCUAAAACUUUAUUUUCCUCACAUUUUAAUUCCUUGAUGUUACGAGUAUAAAGAGAAAGUCGUUAGAUAAAAAGAAAAGUAUUUUGGUGAGUUGUAUUUCAAGAACAAAAAAUACUGAUCUUAGUGUCCAUAAAUUUUUCUUUAAACACAUAACAAAAAAAAUUAAUAUUUUUUAAAAGUGGCCCUAAACAAAAUAAAAAAGAGGAGGUUUUAUCUAUUUUUUUGGUUUUUUAACCAGUCACAUUACUUUAUUUCUUUUCAAUUGCAUUCUUUAAAGCUAUAUUUUCAUGGCAACCAUAGCUAUCAAACCCAGCCUAGGAGUUAACCCGACUAAUGGGCUAAGUCCUGGUUUACACGAGUUGACUCGGGUCAACCAAGAAAAAUUUUAAAAAAAUAUUUGAGAUUUUAAUAUUUUAUAUGAAAAAAUAAGAAAUAAUCCAUAUGGAUAUAUGCUAUACAUGUUGUAAACAAUUAAAUUUAAAAGAUUAUUUCAAAAUGUUUUUUAUUCCACAUUGAAAAGAUACUAUCUUAUUCUUUUAAGUUAAAGUAUUUAAAUAAAAAAGGUUUUCUAUCCUACAUUGAAUAACCAUUAACUUUUUUAUUGUGAAUAUAGAAUAAAUAUAUAGACACAUACACACACUAAAAGACUUCAAAUUUUACAUUACAAAAAUAAAAUAUUUUUCUAAUAUUUAUAUACUGAACUUGAAAUGAGUUAGAAAAAAACUGAAAAUAUAUAAAAAAAAUCUCUAAAUAAAAGAAAAACACAUUUAAUAAAAACAGAAUCUCUAUCAAGUUUUUAUUGGGCCACCCGAGUUCCAGGUUUACCCAACAUGUUAACCAGUUUACUCCAGGCCACUUACACGUCCAAAUAUUGAAUGAAACAGACCACCAAGGCUUAUCAUUCUCUCUCACAUAAUCACUCUAUCACCCUUUCGCAAAAAUCCACCAAGGCUCCUGCUUUCCACUACUCCUUUUCUCUCACAUAUUCCGACCCUCACCCCUUCUGCAAAAAUCCACCAUGGCUCUGGAGUUGAUCGGAGGAUCAAUUCUCUCUGCUCUCGUUGAGGUACUGGUCGACAGGUUGGCCUCUCGUGAGGUUCUGGACUCCUUCAAAAGCCACAAACUCGAUGAUGGUCUUCUGGAAAAGCUGAAUGAAACACUGAAUACUGUCAACGGACUACUCGACGAUGCGGAGGAGAAGCAGAUUACAAAGCGUGCUGUGAAGAACUGGCUUAAUGAUGUUAAACACGCUGUGUAUGAAGCUGAGGACAUAUUGGAUGAGAUUAAUUAUGAAUAUCUACGAUCCAAGGACAUUGAUACCCC
rnacentral:lncRNA from 1 species